ACGGGUGAGUAAUGUAUCGGAACGUGCCCAGUAGCGGGGGAUAACUACGCGAAAGCGUAGCUAAUACCGCAUACGCCCUUAGGGGGAAAGCAGGGGAUCGCAAGACCUUGCACUAUUGGAGCGGCCGAUAUCGGAUUAGCUAGUUGGUGAGGUAAUGGCUCACCAAGGCCGCGAUCCGUAGCUGGUUUGAGAGGACGACCAGCCACACUGGGACUGAGACACGGCCCAGACUCCUACGGGAGGCAGCAGUGGGGAAUUUUGGACAAUGGGGGAAACCCUGAUCCAGCCAUCCCGCGUGUGCGAUGAAGGCCUUCGGGUUGUAAAGCACUUUUGGCAGGAAAGAAACGGCGCGUGCUAAUACCAUGCGCAACUGACGGUACCUGCAGAAUAAGCACCGGCUAACUACGUGCCAGCAGCCGCGGUAAUACGUAGGGUGCAAGCGUUAAUCGGAAUUACUGGGCGUAAAGCGUGCGCAGGCGGUUCGGAAAGAAAGAUGUGAAAUCCCAGGGCUCAACCUUGGAACUGCAUUUUUAACUACCGGACUAGAGUAUGUCAGAGGGAGGUGGAAUUCCACGUGUAGCAGUGAAAUG
rnacentral:rRNA from 1 species